GGGAGAAAACGGGCGCCAUGAUCCCAGCGCGAGGGAGGACGGCGCGGGCGGGGGAUCCCCGGCGAAAAGGAAAGCGGGAAAAGGCCUCAGCUUCUCCUUCCUUAGCGGGGCCGGGAGGAGUGGAGCGGGGGAAGAGAGAGAGCGAGAGAGAGAGAGGAGCGGUUUGCGCCUGCUUUUGUAACUGCGUCAGUCCAAGAUGGCGCAGGGUCUCCCUGGAGAGGGAAGGGAGCCGCACGUCCGCCGGAGGUCAUGUGACCGCGCUGCAUUCCUGUGGGCUUUGGCUGCCGCCCAACGCGGCUGAGGCGGCGGCGGCGGCGCUCGGGAGAGUUCGCGCUUCCCCUCCCCCAGCGCCGCCGUUGCCGCGUCGCUUCCCCUUCCCUUCCCCCCCGUAACCCCGCGCGCGAGGGCGUAGCCGCCGCUGAGGAAGGUUCUCGUCGCUCUCCCUGCUCCCCGCCCCUCUCCCGGGUGCAGCCGCGCUCGGGGGAGGCCCUCCAUCCGCCCUCCGCUGCCGUAGCGCCCUCCUCGGCCUCCCCUCCCCGAUGAAGAACCAGCGGGGACUUCUUUCUCCAGCAGCAGGGCUAAAUCCACCAGUCUGAUGAGGCUGUGCUCAGCUGCAGGGAGGCAACGUCUCCAGGCUCUGGCCCAGGGCCCCAGUUUGGAAAGGACCUCACUGGAAAGUGUUCUACCGAAAUCUGGUGCAACUCUGAUAAAACGUCCCAGCCCAUCCUGUAAAGACUGUUACUGAAAAAUCUUGAAAUAAUCACAGGGGAAACGACAGGAACUCAGGCCUCCCUUCCCACCCAAGCGAGACACUCCCUGUCUCUUUUUCCCUACAGCCCACUAAGCACGCAAGGAUCUGAUGGAAAAGGGCAAGAGUUUCAGCAGCGGGAAAUCUGAGCCAGAGCCACAGCAAAGGCUGGCUGAGACGGAGCUGCCCCUGUGCCAGUUCCGAGGCAGGAGGGCAGCAGGCUGCUGAGGUGGGGUUGCAGCAGUGUGUUAAGAGUCCUCACUAAACUUGUGGGAGUAUGGAAAUGUAGGAUCAAGUUCAGGGAUUGCAGUAGCAGACAAAGGAGGAACAAUUCCUUUGGCCUGAGUGACAUUUCACUUACAUGUGCUAACUGUAAAUCUUAUCUGGAAUCAUGAGAGGCUUUAAUGUGGUUUUCCUCAUGUACGUUUAAGAACACAUCCAAUUAACAGAAAUACAGCAGCUGAAAUGCCUGUUUUAUAAGAGGGCAGGGCUGAGCAGGUUAAAAAUGUAUAGGACUGGAUUAUAUUAGUCCUUGUUGAUGGGGCUUUCAGCUCUACUGGCCCAAUCCACGUAUCUCUUCUUUCAUCAGUGGAUUAGAUACAAAGAAUCCACUCUCACUAUUUUCUUGAGCAGAUGAAGCUGUUGUGUUUGAUUUUUACCUUGUGGUUUUUAACAAGUCAGUUCCUGGUGAGACAGUCUGAAUCGGGCUCUUGUUUGAUACCAAGAAGGUAAUGAGGCUUAAACUGUACAAACUCUGCAUGCUCUUCUAUUUGCACAGAGUGGUGAUCUGUGGCCAUAUAUAGUGCAGUGCAGUGAAGGUUUUAGGAGCUGUGUUCCUUGCUCCCUUAGAUUCACUGGGGAAAACAAACAAACAAAAACCCUUUAAUCUGUGGAAUUAUACAGUCCAGUGACAGGAGGAUACAAAUGGGAAGUCUGAGGAGAUGAGGUGCCCUCAGCAAGGCUGUUUCAAGGCUUGGUGGCUGGCAUGUGCCCCCUCCUCCAGGUGUCCUGCUGGACUCUGGUGCCAUCAGCUCUAGUCCCAGGCAGCAGCAGGCCACCGGGGCUUGGGUGGGUUUGCUCCCUGUACCUCUGCAUGGCUCUGGGAUUCAUAACGACAUUCCAGACUCUGAAGAAAGCAUCUAAAGCUUGUUCAGCCUGUAUGGAGGAGCUGAAGUUGCCACAGGGCAGGGAAGGGACCGCCAAGGGAUCUGGACAGUCAUGGGAAAAGCCAUGGUGAGGAGGAACAAGCAGGCCUCGCUUCAGUCUGUGGGAGCCUGCACUCACUCUUGGCCUGUAAAUGACUUGUGGCAGGCGCUGUCAUCCCUUGUGAGACACGGUGGGUGGUGCCGGCCACAUAAAAUACAUCUAAAUCCCAGUUCAGUCCAGACUGUAAAACGGGCUUAAAGUGAAAACAGAUUGAGACAAGGAAGGAGAGAGCUUCUUAGGCUGCAGAUGGCCACCAUUCAGUAGCUCCCUCUGGGCCUGUGUCAGCGGGCCACCCUUGCUCCUGAGCCCCGCUUUGCUCCUCGCCCAGUGCAGAAGCUAUAAUGCAGCUCCUGUUAUAACUCGGGCAGUGAUGGGCAGCUGCAGCUGGGCCCGGAGCAGAGAGCUUUGCUGGCACCGCUCUGUGCAGUGCCGCUGUCUGCAGCGCUGGGCCAGCGCCUUAUGGAGACAUUGCCCCUUUUCAGCUGUUCGUUGCCUCUCUGAUGCCAGGGAUGCCCUCGGAUCUGCUGUCAGCUCGGGGCAGGCUCUGCAGGAACGCGCUAAUCCCCUGCAGGAAAGUUCCCGUGGCUCAGUUCAAAUACCCGGUUUGAACUGGUUAAUCUGACCCGGUCGGUCUGUCUGGCGGAGCACCGACACGCUCUGCGCUGCCGCGGGUGAAGGUCGGCUUGAGCUCGAGGGUGGUGACGGAGAGCAGCUGGUUCUGCUGCUUCCAAGAGAGACAUCUGCUCACAGCCUUAAAAUCAUUUAGCCCAAAUCCCGUGCAGUUCAGGGCUGUUUCCUGUGUAGCUUUUAGUGCAUUUUGUCCUUCCUUAGUUUAAAACAGGAUUUCUAUUGUUUGUCUGGUGAGGCUAGUAAAAGCUAGGAGGAUAUUCCUCUUAAAUUACUCCUUUAUAUCUAAUUAUACACCUGGGUAGACAAGUAGUUUGUCCUGAAGAAGCAGAUGGGGUAAAUAUGGGACUGUGUCUGAAUUCUGCAGAGUAACUCACAGAUGCCAUUUUCAGCACGAGCUGUUUUUGCUGCAGCACUGUUCAUCUUGCUCAGGAGAAAUUUCAGGAAGUUGUGCGGAGCAAAAGGUUGCAGCUUGGCUCCUCGUUGUUUUUAUUUCUCCUACUCUUACAUUAAGCAGAAAAAACAAGGGAAAAAAUCCUCUCCCUGGGACUCAUUUCCAUGUUUCUCAUGAACUCAGAGUUCCUCUGCCUGGAAUCAAACAUCUAUGAAAUGAAAACUGAAGGAAGAAAGAAUGCACCGGGGAAAGACCAUGUUCAGUGCAGUGCACAUUUUUCAUGCUGGACUGAAAUUUAUUUCUCCUAAUUCCAAAACAUUCAACUUCAGUGCUCAGGAAGAUUCACCUAAAACUGUUUUCAUAUAAAAUAUAAAAAUUAAACUUGGCAGUACUUUUUUCAGUCAUCUAACGGUAAGUAUCCUACAUUCACAUUUUAUGCCACCUGAAAGCAGACUGCUUUGUGAACUGUUUGAAAGGCACUGGUAAAGGACCUCUGUAUAGUCCCCUGCAUUUGGUUUAAGUAACUUUUCUCCUGCUGUGACUCCUCAUUCCUUCUAGCUGCUUUGCUGGUUUAUGUGCUCAUAGGAAUCACUAGACUAAACUCUUUCUGCCAGGUACUGGGUGUAUACUCAUUUUAAUCGACAGUGUAUGACAGUCACUAGACUUCUCAUAUGUUAGUGGUGAACUCCUUUCUGUUGGCCCUCUGAUGGGCUUGGUAGCUCCUGGCAGCAAGGUGGAGUGAAGAGCUAGGGGCAAUAGUUCCCUUUUCAGGACCUGGGUAUACAUCUUGUGUUGGAGCACAAGCAUUAUGGGGAUUGGAUGAGGGAACUGGGAUGGUUCAGUCUGGAGAAGAGGAGGCUCAGAGGAGACCUUACCACUCUCUACAACUGCCUGAAAGUUGUGGCAAGGUGGGGGUCGGCCUCUUCUCCCAUGUAACAGUGAUAAUAUGAGAGGGGAUGACCUCAAGUUGCACCAGGGGAGGUUCAGGUUGGACACAGGAACAAUUUCUUCUCAGAAGGAGUGGUGAGGCACUGGCACAGGUUGCCCAGGGAGAUGGUGGAGUCACUGUCCCUAGAGGUGUUCAAGAAAUGUGGAGAUGUGGCACUGAGGAACAUGGAUUAGUGGGCAUGGUGGAGAUGGGCUGAUGGUUGGACUAAGUGGUCUUAGUGGUCUUUUCAGUAUUUUUGAUUCUAUGAUUCCACAUGGGGAGGUAAAGGCAGGAAAUUUGGGAUAUUGCAGACAGAAGUAUGGGUGCAAUUAUUGUUGCUCUAGGUAGAACUUAGCUUCCCAUAGAUAAAUGAGCAACCCAGAGCCUAGGAAACAAAUGAGCACAUUUUGUAUGUGCUGUGUAGGUGCCCAGAAUUAUCCUUCGCAGCCUGUGCAUAUCAGGUAGAAUUAGUGGUCACACUGAGAUGAGCACUGAGAGCAUGUGCCCUUCAAGACUGAUGUGUUGGAAUGCUUUGGAUUUACCAUGCAAGCGCCGGGUGAGUUCCACACACAAGAAGUAUCAUGAAGGGGUUGAGAUGCACCAGAUUUACUAUGCACACAUGGUGCAGAUUUCAUGAACUAAAUAUGCUGAUGUACUGCAGGCUGUCCCCAUAUUGGCACUCCUCAACACACUGGUACUGGUGGUAACCAUGUGGCCAUAGAGUGAGUUGAAUCAGCUUGCUGGAGUGGCUGACCAUGCAGAUAAAUAAGUACUAGGACUGAUAGAGGAGAGGUGAUGGGAACAGGCAAGAUUGCUCCUUUGCACAGGAGCACAUGCUUAGCUCUAUAACAGCCCUGACACCACAAGGUCAGUGAUUUGGCAGGAUUUUUAGCACAUCAGAUAGCCCAGGCAAAAUUAUGUCUGGGGCUCGUUCUUUCAUGAAAUUGCUGCAGACUUCACAUUACAGAGGACAAAUUUCUCUACAUCUGUCUAGUAAGGGGGACCUAAUUGGGACACUGGGACUACUGCAGUUCUAGAUAGGGCUGGCUAGGGUGGACUAAUCCCUGCAUAUAACAGAGCAAUGAUCACCAAGACUACAUGGAUGGGCAUACAUGAAGAUAGAAAUUGCACCGGUAUUGAAUAGUUCAGUUGCUUGUCUUCAAGGAAAAAGCAGUAUCCAGUCCCUGUAAAAGGAUUAUAUUGAUCUCUAAUAGCUGCAGCUUACUGAGUAAAUAAACGUUUCUAGUAACACAUCUGCUUCUGUGCUUCACUGCUUACUCAGACAGUGAAGUCCUGGGUCUUGGAGCUUAAUCCCUAUUGAUUUUCUGUCAAUUCCUUCUGUGAUGACCCCAAAUCUUUACUAAACUGUAGCAGAUCAGUGUAUUUGACAUGGCCUUCACUUGUUAUUGGCUCCCCCGGGGAACUUGGAGGCAUCAUUGGGCUUCUCAUCUAGCUGCCACAAUCUGCAAAUGAUGAGUCUUGGUCUGGGACUUUCUGUAUGGGGCUCUGGUUUGCUCUGUCUUCAGAAAUACUUCUCCUUUAACCUUCUGGGAUAAUCAUUCCAUCUGUAAAGUAUUCCUUUGCUUCCUGUUGUAUUCAAUAAACUUUGCUUUAAAGGACUCUUGUUGAUACUAACCAUCUGUUGUCUGGGGGGGAGGAGAAGACAUAGGAAAGACAACUUAAGUUAUGAAUUGUUGUUCAGAAGUCUCAUCUGUAAAAUCCUAACAUAGAAGCAUGCUGAAAAGGGAGAGAACAGGAGUAAGAACUGGGAAAACUUCUGCUUCAGGCAUUUGUUUGCUGGCACAGGCCCAGCAGGCACUGCAUUAGGCAGCUUGGACUGACAGCUUGUUUUCAUGUUUGCAGUGGUACUUCAUCUCCUGGCCUGGGACGACAUCUGGCUGGCACGUUCUUCUCCACACACCAGGAAGAGGACUCUUGUUAGCUGGUUACUGCAGAUCUCAGCAUUAAAACACAGUGAAUCAGACUGCAAAGUAGCAUGAGACUGAUUUAAAAAUAAUGAGAUUUAUGUAUUGAGUUGAGCUUUGAGUUCUUUUUAUUUGCUUUCUGGCUUGGAAACCUUUAGAAUGUGUGAUGAGUAUAUUUUUUGCUUUUCAUCAUGAUUGUGAAUGUUUUAAAAACACACACACAAAAAGCGAGCAGACAAACGAAAUAGAUCCUUACCUUAUAAUUGAGAAAUCCUGAAUCACUGAUUUUGGCUUUCACAAUCA